rnacentral:rRNA from 1 species
CCCUUAGAUGUUCUGGGCCGCACGCGCGCUACACUGUUCGACGCAGCGAGUCUUAACCUUGACCGAAAGGUUUGGGUAAUCUUCAGCAAAGUCGAACGUGAUGGGGAUCGAUCAUUGCAAUUAUUGAUCGUGAACGAGGAAUUCCUAGUAAGUGCAAGUCGUCAGCUUGCGCUGAUUACGUCCCUGCCCUUUGUACACACCGCCCGUCGCUACUACCGAUUGAAUGGUUUAGUGAGAUCUCUGGAUUGACGCUGGCUAGGGGGCGACCCUUGGCCAGACUGCUCGAGAAACUGCUCAAACUUGAUCAUUUAGAGGAAGUAAAAGUCGUAACA